GGGGAUUUGGCUCAGUGGUAGAGUGCUUGCCUAGCAAGCACAAGACCCUGGGUUCGGUCCCCAGCUCCG
rnacentral:tRNA from 1 species